CUCCUUUGCACCUAUACUUUAUCCUGACCACAUUACAUAAACGGAUCACUGAGGGUUAUGAGCUCUCUGCAAUUCAAGCCCUCCUCUAACCUCCCUCCAGCUAAGUGAGAAGCAACUUCCAUGGGAUGACAACAUACCUAGGAAGAUGUCCGUCACCUGGAAAACAUUGCUGCGAGGUGAGGCACAGAAAGAAGGUGGAUUUUCUGAGCUGGUGGGAGCUGGUGGCUCUAGGCUGCAAUUUCUGACAGAGUUAGAGGAGCAUCCAGAGGAAAAGAGUUACCUUCUUGUGGGGUGCCUGACCAAACAGGUUCUUAAGAUUAGAUCGAGACCCACGGCUGCUUCACAGGUGUUGCUGAAUGGAGGCUGUGCAACUGGGAAAAGAGAACCGCAUCUAUAGCGCUAAUGAGAAGAGAGCCCUUGCAUCUUUUAACCAAGAAGAGGGAUGAAAGAGAGAGAACAAGAUUCUGGCCAGUUUUCCAGAGAUGGUAUACAGAAAGACAAAAGUGAAGGAUUUUCUAACUGAUCAGCAGACAUUUUUCACAACAAAAAAGAAAGUCUGGCUUCUACACAUACCCAAAAAGAUUACUAUGCUCUGAAAAAGC